GAGUCGACCCCUAAGGCGAGGCCGAGAGGCGUAGUCGAUGGGAAAUUGGUUAAUAUUCCAAUACUUCUGUGUAAUGCGAUGAGAGGACGGAGAAGGUUAAGUCAGCCUGGCGUUGGUUGUCCAGGUGGAAGACAGUAGGCAUGCAUCUUAGGCAAAUCCGGGGUGCUCUAUGCUGAGAGUCGAUAGCAAGCUGUACUUGUACAGUGAAGUGGCUGAUACCAUGCUUCCAGGAAAAGUCUCUAAGCUUCAGUUACACAGGAAUCGUACCCGAAACCGACACAGGUGGUCAGGUCGAGUAGACCAAAGCGCUUGAGAGAACUCUGCUGAAGGAACUAGGCAAAAUGGUACCGUAACUUCGGGAGAAGGUACGCUGCUGACGGUGAUGGGACUUGCUCCCUGAGCGGUUGGCAGCCGCAGAAACCAGGCCGCUGCAACUGUUUAUUAAAAACAUAGCACUCUGCAAACACGAAAGUGGACGUAUAGGGUGUGAUGCCUGCCCGGUGCUGGAAGGUUAAUUGAUGGGGUUAGCGUAAGCGAAGCUCUUGAUCGAAGCCCCAGUAAACGGCGGCCGUAACUAUAACGGUCCUAAGGUAGCGAAAUUCCUUGUCGGGUAAGUUCCGACCUGCACGAAUGGCAUAAUGAUGGCGGCGCUGUCUCCAGCAGAGGCUCAGUGAAAUCGAAAUCGCUGUGAAGAUGCAGUGUACCCGCGGCUAGACGGAAAGACCCCGUGAACCUUUACUGCAGCUUGACAUUGAACUUUGACCUUACUUGUGUAGGAUAGGUGGGAGGCUUUGAAGUUGGAACGCUAGUUCCAAUGGAGCCGUCCUUGAAAUACCACCCUGGUAAUGUUGAGGUUCUAACUCUGCCCCGUAAUCCGGGGCGAGGACCAUGUCUGGUGGGUAGUUUGACUGGGGCGGUCUCCUCCUAAAGAGUAACGGAGGAGUACGAAGGUGCGCUCAGCGUGGUCGGAAAUCACGCGUAGAGUAUAAAGGCAAAAGCGCGCUUAACUGCGAGACCCACAAGUCGAGCAGGUACGAAAGUAGGUCUUAGUGAUCCGGUGGUUCUGUAUGGAAGGGCCAUCGCUCAACGGAUAAAAGGUACUCUGGGGAUAACAGGCUGAUACCGCCCAAGAGUUCAUAUCGACGGCGGUGUUUGGCACCUCGAUGUCGGCUCAUCUCAUCCUGGGGCUGAAGCAGGUCCCAAGGGUAUGGCUGUUCGCCAUUUAAAGAGGUACGCGAGCUGGGUUUAGAACGUCGUGAGACAGUUCGGUCCCUAUCUACCGUGGGCGCUGGAAAUUUGAGAGGAUCUGCUCCUAGUACGAGAGGACCAGAGUGGACGAACCUCUGGUGUACCGGUUGUGACGCCAGUCGCAUCGCCGGGUAGCUAUGUUCGGAAGGGAUAACCGCUGAAAGCAUCUAAGCGGGAAGCCUACCUCAAGAUAAGAUUUCCCUAGGAAUUUAUUCCUCUAAAGAGCCGUUCGAGACUAGGACGUUGAUAGGUUGGGUGUGGAAGUACGGUGACGUAUGAAGCUGACCAAUACUAAUUGCUCGUGAGGCUUGACUAU
rnacentral:rRNA from 1 species